rnacentral:rRNA from 1 species
GUCUACGGCCAUACCACCCUGAACGCGCCCGAUCUCGUCUGAUCUCGGAAGCUAAGCAGGGUCGGGCCUGGUUAGUACUUGGAUGGGAGAAUUUGACAUAUUCAAAAUUUGGAUAUACC